rnacentral:rRNA from 1 species
UCCCAUCAGAACUCCGCAGUUAAGCGUGCUUGGGUUGGAGUAGUACUAAGUUGGGUGACCACUUGGGAACUCCUAAUAUUGCACCCUU